UUUUGCGCUGAGAGUGGCUGACGGAUUGAGUAACGCCGUAGAAUCUACCUAGUAGUUGGGGACAACCUGGUGAAAACCAGGCUAAUACCGAAUAAGCCCUACGGGGGAAAGUGGAGGAUCUUCGGACUUCACGCUAUUAGAUGAGCCUGCGUCGGAUUAGCUAGAUGGUGGGGUAAAGGCUUACCAUGGCAACGAUCCGUAGCUGGUCUGAGAGGACGAUCAGCCACACUGGGACUGAGACACGGCCCAGACUCCUACGGGAGGCAGCAGUGGGGAAUAUUGGACAAUGGGGGCAACCCUGAUCCAGCAAUGCCGCGUGUGUGAAGAAGGCCUGCGGGUUGUAAAGCACUUUCAGUAGGGAGGAAAAGUUCAAGGUUAAUACCCUUGGACCCUGACGUUA
rnacentral:rRNA from 1 species